rnacentral:rRNA from 1 species
AUUGAACGCUGGCGGCAGGCCUAACACAUGCAAGUCGAACGAGUGGCGGACGGGUGAGUAAUGUCUGGGAAACUGCCUGAUGGAGGGGGAUAACUACUGGAAACGGUAGCUAAUACCGCAUACCAUCGGAUGUGCCCAGAUGGGAUUAGCUUGUUGGUGGGGUAACGGCUCCCCAAGGCGACGAUCCCUAGCUGGUCUGAGAGGAUGACCAGCCACACGGGAACUGAGACACGGUCCAAACUCCUACGGAAGGCAGCAGUGGGGAAUAUUGCACAAUGGGCGCAAGCCUGAUGUAGCCAUACCGCUUGUAUGAAGAAGGCCUUCGGGUUGUAAAGUACUUUCAGCGGGGAGGCGUUACCCGCAGAAGAAGCACCGGCUAACUCCGUGCCAGCCGCCGCGGUAAUUC